UACGUAGGAUGCAAGCGUUGUCCGGAUUUAUUGGUUUUAAAGGGUGCGUAGGCGGCCUAUUAAGUUAGUGGUGAAAACGUUCGGCUUAACCGGAUACCCGCCAUUGAUACUGAUAGACUUGAGUGCGACAGAGGGUGUUGGAAUGUGUGGUGUAGCGGUGAAAUGCUUAGAUAUCACGCAGAACACCAAUUGCGAAGGCAGAUGCCUAUGUCGUAACUGACGCUGAGGCACGAAAGCGUGGGGAGCAACGAGG
rnacentral:rRNA from 1 species